UAUGAUGUAUUUAUUAGUAAUAUAAAUCUGUAUUCCCAUGUAGGUAAUAUCAAGAUCAGGAUACACAAUAUAUCUAGUACUCAAGAAAGUUUCUUCCUGCCCCUUCCAGUCUAGUUCCGUACUCCCAAAUCUCUCAUACAGAGAGAGAAAGAGAGAGAUCACAAGCAGCGAGGCAGGCAGAGAGAGAGCCUGCUUUCACCAGGCUCCCUGACCAGAGAGCCCAAUGAGGGGCUCGAUCCCAGGACCCUGAAAUCAUGACCUGAGCCCAAAGCAGAGGCUUAACUCACUGAGCCACCCAGGCACCCCAUGGUCAGUCUUUUGAAUAACAACCUUUGGAUGGGUAUGGUAUGACAUUGAAGUUUUAAUUUGCAAUUCAGCUAUAGCUUAUACUGAACCCUUUUAAUAUUCUUAAUGGCCAUUCAGAUGUCUUCUGUUAAUGAAAUCCUUCUUUAACCUAAUGUUUUAAAAAUUGAGUUUAUUUUUUUUUUAAUUUUGUUGAUUUGUAGGUAUUUCUAAAAAUACGUUCUGGAUGUGGUUCCUUCGUUAGUUGUAAUGUCGAAUAAC
rnacentral:lncRNA from 1 species